AAAACAAUAGUUUUGGCGGGAAUCCGAGAAGCAAACACCUGUGAAAAUGCACAAAUGUGAGAAAAUCAAACAAAUCUGCUGGACGUAGUUUUUCGGAUUCUGCUCAAAUAUGAUAAAAUCGGAUAAAUUGAAAUCGGAUAAAAGCGGACCCGCGUAAAAUAAAUAUGCUUUAUGAGCUUCGGUUUUGUUUUAGUAAAACAAAAGUAUAUAUUGUAAUAAGUAGGUAUAUAUCUAUAACAAAAGGGAUUAUCAAAAAUUACAUGCGAUGGACCGAUCAGAUCAAUCGGCAGUUAGCGGCUGUUUGCAUGAGUGUACCAGGCUCACGAAAAACUGGGAGGAGUGGCGAUUGCUCGUGAGGCGUGAUAACAUCUGACCACAGCAAUGAUGCCGGAUGACGACCACGACCGCUCUGACAAGAGUGAUACGACAUACGAAUACAAAGUUGUCAACUACCGCAAGUUAAUUCGUUUUAUUUGGAUAAUUUUUCCCCUUUUACACGAUACCUUUGCCACAAAAUUUGUUCGGUCCCAUAAAAUAAACCAAUACAACUUUAACAAAUUUA